rnacentral:rRNA from 1 species
GAUGAACGCUGGCGGCGUGCCUAAUACAUGCAAGUAGAACGCUGAAGCUUGGUGCUUGCACCGAGCGGAUGAGUUGCGAACGGGUGAGUAACGCGUAGGUAACCUGCCUGGUAGCGGGGGAUAACUAUUGGAAACGAUAGCUAAUACCGCAUAACAGUAGAUAUUGCAUGAUAUCUGCUUGAAAGGUGCAAAUGCAUCACUACCAGAUGGACCUGCGUUGUAUUAGCUAGUUGGUGAGGUAACGGCUCACCAAGGCGACGAUACAUAGCCGACCUGAGAGGGUGAUCGGCCACACUGGGACUGAGACACGGCCCAGACUCCUACGGGAGGCAGCAGUAGGGAAUCUUCGGCAAUGGGGGGAACCCUGACCGAGCAACGCCGCGUGAGUGAAGAAGGUUUUCGGAUCGUAAAGCUCUGUUGUAAGAGAAGAACGAGUGUGAGAGUGGAAAGUUCACACUGUGACGGUAGCUUACCAGAAAGGGACGGCUAACUACGUG